rnacentral:tRNA from 1 species
CAGGGUGUAGCUCAACGGCGGAGCGCUAGUUUUGGGAACUAGAGGUUGGAGGUUCGAUUCCUCUCACCCUGA